rnacentral:rRNA from 1 species
GACGAACGCUGGCGGCGUGCUUAACACAUGCAAGUCGAACGGAAAGGCCCUGCUUUUGUGGGGUGCUCGAGUGGCGAACUGGUGAGUAACACGUGAGUAACCUGCCCUUGACUUUGGGAUAACUUCAGGAAACUGGGGCUAAUACCGGAUAGGAGCUCCUGCUGCAUGGUGGGGGUUGGAAAGUUUCGGCGGGUGGGGAUGGACUCGCGGCUUAUCAGCUUGUUGGUGGGGUAGUGGCUUACCAAGGCUUUGACGGGUAGCCGGCCUGAGAGGGUGACCGGCCACAUUGGGACUGAGAUACGGCCCAGAGUCCUACGGGAGGCAGCAGUGGGGAAUAUUGCACAAUGGGCGGAAGCCUGAUGCAGAAACGCCGCGUGCGGGAUGACGGCCUUCGGGUUGUAAACCGCUUUCGCCUGUGACGAAGCGUGAGUGACGGUAAUGGGUAAAGAAGCACCGGCUAACUACGUG